AUUGAACGCUGGCGGAAGGCCUAACACAUGCAAGUCGAACGGAGUGGCGGACGGGUGAGUAAUGUCUGGGAAACUGCCUGGUAGUGGGGGAUAACGUCCGGAAACGGGCGCUAAUACCGCAUACUAUCAGAUGAGCCUAGGUCGGAUUAGCUAGUUGGUGGGGUAAAGGCCUACCAAGGCGACGAUCCGUAACUGGUCUGAGAUGAUGAUCAGUGCACCUUGAACUGAGACACGUUCCAGACUCCUACGGGAGGCAGCAGUGGGGAAUAUUGGACAAUGGGCGAAAGCCUGAUCCAGACAUGCCGCGUGUGUGAAGAAGGUCUUCGGAUUGUAAAGCACUUUAAGUUGUGAGGCGUUACCAACAGAAUAAGCACCGGCUAACUUCGUGCCAGCCGCCGCGUUAAUUC
rnacentral:rRNA from 1 species